CUGCUGCCUUCCGUAGGAGUCUGGGCCGUGUCUCAGUCCCAAUGUGGCCGGCCAACCUCUCAGUCCGGCUACUGAUCGUCGCCUUGGUGGGCCGUUGCCCCGCCAACUAGCUAAUCAGACGCGAGUCCAUCUCAGAGCGAUAAAUCUUUGGCAGUCAGAGCCAUGCGACCCAACUGCAUUAUGCGGUAUUAGCAGCUGUUUCCAGCUGUUAUUCCCCACUCCAAGGCAGGUUACU
rnacentral:rRNA from 1 species